UCCAUACGUGAAACUUUCUUUGUACGUAGCAGAUGAGAAUAGAGAACUUGCUUUGGUUCAGACAAAGACAAUUAAAAAGACGCUGAACCCAAAAUGGAAUGAAGAAUUUUAUUUUAGAGUAAAUCCAUCCAAUCACAGACUCCUAUUUGAAGUAUUUGAUGAAAACAGAUUGGUAAGUAGAUUCUGGUCCUUGAUUUUUUGCUUUGUU